GUAAACUUUCAAGGACCAAAUCCCUCGACACUUAGUAAUUUUUUUAUCCUUUUUACCAAGACCAUCACCAACACAACGUAACUUCGUGCCUCCACCACCAACACCCUGAUCUCAAGACUUAAGUUCAUCGCUAAGGGUGGCGGCGGUGGUGGUGGUGGCGGUGUCGGUGGUGCAGGGUGGCAUGAAGUGGAGAAGCAGUUUGAUGUUCUUACUACUUCAACUGAUGGAUGGCUUCAUCGUUCUCUCUUUGGAAAAUGUAUAGUUGUUUGUAUGUGGGGAUGAGCAAGGAAUCUGAGGCAUGCUGGUGUACUUUUUGAUUCGUGGCUAGGAGGAGGGAUAUUCAUGGGGAUUCAAUUAACAAGGCUCAAUUGAAGGACUUUUGGGACCAGAUUUCUGACUAGAGUUUUGAUUCCAGGCUCAGAACCGUCUUUGACAUGGUUGAUAAAGAUGCAGAUGGAAGAAUCACCAAGGAAGAAAUUAAAGAGACCAUCUGCCUUAGUGCCACAACAAACAAACUCUCAAACAUACAGCAGCAGGCUAAAGAAUAUGCAGCUUUGAUCAUGGAAGAACUAGACCCUGAAGAGACGGGAUUUAUCAUGCAAUGCCGUUUUCCCCUUUUGCACUUGAAAUUAAGCUGAUUGGCAUGAUUUUGUGAAUUUUGCAUUCAACUUUCUGUAAGCAGCGCAGUAACUGCGUGGAAAUUAGUUCUUGCUGGGAAUGAACAAGGGAAUGAACACUGAUACAAUUGUUAAGGCCAAGAGUUUUCUUGAUGGUGAUGAAGAUCAGCAUGAAAAAGAUGUGUUUGAGAAGAAUUUGAAGGUGCUUCAGAAUAUUUUAGUCAUUAUGCCGAGAUUAGAAGAUUAAUGAUUUUUUGUUUGUUAAGUUCUUUUCGGAUAUAGAGUGCAAACUUUGCAUUUUAAUUGAUAUGUGAUACAA